UGGGCCUUAGGCCUAAGUCUGGAACCAACGACGAUCCGCUUUUACCCUUCAUGUGAGCUGAAGCAAGGAAUGGGAGAAGGAAAGCGCUGGUGCCAAAAAGCUCAUGCGGUGCGAUGAUUCCAAAGCUUCUUCGUGUUUAUGCAGGGUGGACCGAAUCGAGAGUGAAGGUGGAAGAGUGCAUAUUGAGAAUUCCUCAAUUCUGAGAUGCGAUGAAAUAUGUAGAAACCGUGAGAAGCGAGAAUUCCGAUAAUUUGCGGAGUGCAGAGAUGAAAUUACAAAGUGAGAAAAAAAGCAUACGCAGUUCUGAAAAAUCCUUCUCUCAUUGUGAUGAAGUCAGGUUUUAUAGCCUUAAAAUUCUGUUAUGAAAUCCAGGCCCAAACUCAAUUCAAAUGCACUUGAAAUUCACAUUCAGUUCCAAAUUCAGAAUUCUAUUGUAGUUUGUUAGAAAUUCAAACUCACGUAAAAUUGAGAUGUAAUGUUAAAUGAAACACUAUUUGAUUUUUCCUGCGGUGGUAAUUAGUGUGCAGAAUUUUGAUUAAUUGUUGUUAGAUGCAUAAUUAUGACCUGCUAGGCUUUUACCUUCUUGGAUGUAGCAGGUUUUAUUCAAUGAUGAUGACCUGUUACUACAGGUUUAGCAAGGUAAUAGCAUGUUGAGUGGUUAGGUUUUGGAGCAACUUUGAGCAAUGCUAUUGUAUCCCUGCUGCAAGUCUGCAUGGUUUUUUCUCUUCCAAUUUCUGUUGAAACUCAAAACUACUCAUGUUGGGGCUAUUAUGACAUGUGAAUAAAUGUUGUUAAUAACUAGGCUGAAAAUCCAAAUCAGGCCACAAAUAUGAAGCUAUGCAUAUGGAUGACACUUGAAGAAAAUUGCGAUUGGGAAUUAGGGAUGUAGGGAAAUGGUAGAUUAGGACUAGUUUUGAUCAUGUUGAAGAUUUGAAAUGGUGUAAUGUAUAGGGAUGAUUUUGAUUGUAAUCUUUGGAUGUAAAGUACAAAUUUAUGAAAAAGGAAGUUAAAUGGAAAUGGUAGCUUGAGAAUUUGGAAUUUUGUAAACUGUAAUGUUGAAGUCUUGAUGAAAUACUAUGUAACUUUAUAUGGGAAUGGAAUUGGAAUUUGUUUUAUGUA